rnacentral:rRNA from 1 species
UGCGUAGGGUGCGAGCGUUGUCCGGAAUUACUGGGCGUAAAGCGUGCGCAGGCGGUUUUGUAAGCCAGAUGUGAAAGCCCCGGGCUUAACCUGGGAAUGGCAUUUGGGACUGCAAGGCUUGAGUGCGGCAGAGGAGACUGGAAUUCCUGGUGUAGCAGUGAAAUGCGUAGAUAUCAGGAGGAAUACCGAUGGCGAAGGCAGGUCUCUGGGCUGACACUGACGCUCAUGCACGAAAGCGUGGGGAGCAAACAGG